GUCGAGCGGAGUGAUGGUGCUUGCACUAUCACUUAGCGGCGGACCCUUUAGUAAUGCUUAGGAAUCUGCCUAUUAGUGGGGGACAACUUUUCGAAAGGAAUGCUAAUACCGCAUACGCCCUAAGGGGGAAAGCAGGGGAUCUUCGGACCUUGCGCUAAUACAUGAGCCUAAGUCAGAUUAGCUAGUUGGUGGGGUAAAGGCCUACCAAGGCGACGAUCUGUAGCGGGUCUGAGAGGAUGAUCCGCCACACUGGGACUGAGACACGGCCCAGACUCCUACGGGAGGCAGCAGUGGGGAAUAUUGGACAAUGGGGGGAACCCUGAUCCAGCCAUGCCGCGUGUGUGAAGAAGGCCUUUUGGUUGUAAAGCACUUUAAGCGAGGAGGAGGCUACCGAGAUUAAUACUCUUGGAUAGUGGACGGUGCUCGCAGAAUAAGCACCAGCUAACUCUGUGCCAGCAGCCGCGGUAAUACAGAGGGUGCGAGCGUUAAUCGGAUUUACUGGGCGUAAAGCGUACGUAGGUGGUCUUUUAAGUCGGAUGUGAAAUCCCUGAGCUUAACUUAGGAAUUGCAUUCGAUACUGGGAGACUAGAGUAUGGGAGAGGAUGGUAGAAUUCCAGGUGUAGCGGUGAAAUGCGUAGAGAUCUGGAGGAAUACCGAUGGCGAAGGCAGCCAUCUGGCCUAAUACUGACACUGAGGUACGAAAGCAUGGGGAGCAAACAGGAUUAGAUA
rnacentral:rRNA from 1 species